rnacentral:snRNA from 1 species
GGCCUCACGCUGGCAGCACAUACACUAAAAUUGAAAUGAUACAGAGAAGAUUAGCAUGGCCCCUGUCCCAAGGAUAAAAUGCCCUCUCAAUCAUGAUCAUUUAU